UCCUGAGCCAACCCCGCGUUCGUCGGAGGGCGUGGCAUCGGAGCGUGAGGGAUCUCACGUAUCUUGGUCUCUGUCCUGAGUUUUCAUACCUGUAGUUUUGCUCUUUCCGGGAAAUUGGAAAUUGGAUCUUAACCGCCAGUAAGUUCCUGGGAGAAACGAGCUGGAGGCCCUGCGCCUACGCCUUUCGUUUUUCUACAACGCGUGGGCUACCGUAUUGGAAAUGGGAAGAAGGGUGGGAAGAACCCAGUGUUCUAAAUCGGUUUGCCACGAGAUAACCUCAAGUCGAGGCUAACAAGUGGUCAGAACUCUCCAACCCCGCGGUACCUCGUUCUCCUUUUAAUACCAUAGUGAAGCCAGUACCAUGGACGCAGGGACACCCUUCGAAAUCUCCUGAUUGCAAUUCUGGACCUCAGAUUCUUGUUUGUAAUACAUAAAAAUUAGAAAUGUUUUAAUGUACCUGUUACGUUAGGGGUAAACGAAGGUGUAGUGAUUUCGAAAUAGUCUGGUCCCAAGGACAAAGAAACCGGAACAAUGUUCACUGCAAGGAAAGUUUUAUCUGUUACAUGGUGUCUUCAAGUUUGGGGUGUCUUCAAGAAAAGAAGAUUCUCCAUUCUACACUCAGAUGUUUGUUUAACCAUUAAACUUGUUGGUCUGCUCCUGCACCGUGAA